GGGUAACCUGCCCAAGAGAUCGGGAUAACACCUGGAAACAGAUGCUAAUACCGGAUAACAACAGAUGAUGCCUAUCAACUGUUUAAAAGAUGGUUCUGCUAUCACUCUUGGAUGGACCUGCGGUGCAUUAGCUAGUUGGUAGGGUAACGGCCUACCAAGGCGAUGAUGCAUAGCCGAGUUGAGAGACUGAUCGGCCACAUUGGGACUGAGACACGGCCCAAACUCCUACGGGAGGCAGCAGA
rnacentral:rRNA from 1 species